rnacentral:rRNA from 1 species
CCUACGGGGAGCAGCAGUGAGGAAUAUUGGUCAAUGGACGAGAGUCUGAACCAGCCAAGUAGCGUGAAGGAUGACUGCCCUAUGGGUUGUAAACUUCUUUUAUAAAGGUAUAAAACGAGGCACGUGUGCCUUUUUGCAUGUACUUUAUGAAUAAGGAUCGGCUAACUCCGUGCCAGCAGCCGCGGUAAUACGGAGGAUCCGAGCGUUAUCCGGAUUUAUUGGGUUUAAAGGGAGCGUAGAUGGGUUGUUAAGUCAGUUGUGAAAGUUUGCGGCUCAACCGUAAAAUUGCAAUUGAUACUGGCAGUCGUGAGUACAGUGGAGGUAGGCGGACUUCGUGGUGGAGCGGUGAAAUGCUUAGAUAUCACGAAGAACCCCGAUUGCGAAGGCAGCUUACUAAACUGUGACUGACAUUGAUGCUCGAAAGUGUGGGUAUCAAACAGGAUUAGAUACCCUUGUAGUC